UCAGUUCUAGGGUCAUAAACAAUAGAAAUCCUUUCAGUUUUUCAACUUAUUUACCUAAAUGUUGCAACUUCUUAAUGCUUUUGGGCAGCCUCCACUUUUUUGGCUUUGACUUUUUUCUACCACUUAAGAUUUGUGUAUAUGAUUCUCUUCUGGUGAAAUGCAGAGAUCAAAUUAAAAGAGACCAGAAUCACGACCAUGUGAGUAUCUAUUAAAUAGAAAGUCUAAAGAAAUAUAAUGAAUAUACACACAAGAAAGGAAAAAAAACCCCUGAUACUGAGUUUUAUGUGUAGAUGGAAAGGCAGUGGGAAGUUUUGACUUCAUGUGUGUACUGAUGUGGUAAAUUAAAUUGGUCAGGGUAGCUCCAGGGAGCUAGCAAUUUUUUUCCUUAAGGGUAUAUAAAAUGUCAUAUUUUCAUUCAGAAAUGCUAAUACUCUGCUGCUCUUUCAGCAUUUUGUAUGUAAUAUUAACUGCAAUUCAUUGCAGGCAAAAAAAAAAGUUUGUUUUACUCAAAAAAAUUAUAAUGCACUCCUUAAUGUGUGCAGAAAAUUCAAUCCUGUGUCUGUAUCUGAAGAGUCACAGGACUGAACCUCCUCAUUGACUGAACUACUGGAGCUACUCCAAAUAAUCUUCAUUUUUCUGGCUUUGCACCCCCUCGCUACAAGGACGGCAGAUAACAAUUAUAACAAAACAGUAGGACUGCACUUGACAUGUGUGUGGUGCAGGGUUUCAGGGAGGGGGCAAAUGUAGAUACAAACCAGAAACUAUUUUUUUUAAUCCUCUAAAUCACAGUUUGUGGUCUCAAAGUGCAGGGUUUACUUUAGCCUGACAGGUCUGUGCUAUGUUCAGCCACACAAGACAAAAACAAGUUCCAGAUUUGGGGAUGGCAGAGAAUUCCAGCUCCUUGUCAGUUUGGCAGCAAACAUUGAGUCCCCUGGGUAGGUAUGGUCCCUUUUUUGCUUUUUAGGGGAAUUCAGGGUGGUUUUAUUAAUGUGUUCUGCCAGGAGCACAGAGGAAUCAUCAUCCUUCCUCUUUUCCUGAGGCACAUGGCAUCUGAAACUUUGGUCUUUUCCUACACAUGGAAUGGAUGUUUGGAAGUGCUCUGUGACUUGCAGCAUGCUUUUGUGUGUGAAGAUUAUAUAUUAUAUAUUUAUAUCUCCUGGUGUGUGCAGGAGACAGGAGUCAAUGAUACUGGUCAAGGACUAGUUUCCAAUCCCAUAUUCUCUGGUAUCCAGGAGUAUAAAACAGCUGGCAAAUGAAGAAUGAAUGGUGUUUAUCUGGACAAAAGCAGUCCUGAACACUGCAGUUCUGAGCCUACAAGAUGGAUAGACUGGGAAAGUGUUGGAAGCCUGUCAACAGAAGUCUUUUAAAUUAAUUACCCAGUGAAAGUUAUGUGAUCCAGAGGGCAGUUUGGACUGUAUUUAGGGAUUACUUGGAAAUCAAAUCAAAAUGUAGCAAUUUGUAAGCAAGCUUUCCUACAAAGAGGCUGCCUGACUGGUGCUAAGGUAUUUCAGGCAACUGACAAUCUGAAAUGCUGCCAGCACAGACUUCUGGCCAGCUCACAGCACAGUAAUAGCUCUCAAUAUAAGUUCUCCAGAAUCCAUCUCAAACAAGAUGAUUGUAUCCUAUGAGCCAUGAAAAGUUGAUAUGGGAAAAAAGAGACACAGGAGAAGGACACAAAACUGGAUGGUCUGAUGCCUCAGAAGUGCCAACAAUCCACUCCUAUCACUGGAGUCAGGGGAGUCUGAAAGAGCUUUUGCUGUUUACCUCAAGC